rnacentral:rRNA from 1 species
GCUUACGGCCAUAUCAGCCUGGGUACGCCCGAUCUCGUCUGAUCUCGGAAGCUAAGCAGGGUCUGGCCUGGUUAGUACUUGGAUGGGAGACCGCCUGGGAAUACCAGGUGCUGUAAGCA